CUUACCAGGGUCGAAGGGCUCUCCCGAUCUGCUUGGAAGGAUCAAUCCAGUGAUUGCUGAGUCAGUGGGUGGAAAGCUGAAGCCCAGCAGAAUGGUGGUGAUUCGCUUUAUGGAGUUUGAGGCGACAGUGAUGGGAAUAGCAACAAAGGUGAAAGAAGCCCAUAGCAGUGAAGAGCCACUUGUUCUUACAGAUAUACAAGGGAAUGAAAUAUUUGAUUCAGAGGGGACAAGAGCCGCAAAGAUGAUGUUGACACUACAGGCCUACGGGAUUUAAUAGAAAAGAUUGAUGAGGUGGUAUUGGCAGCUUGAGAUCUACAAUGUGUUGCAUCCUCCAUCAAAGAACUGACACAGCUUGCCACCUGCCAAACAACCCUUAUAAUGACAGCCUCUCAAUCUACUCGGGUUAGGAUACAUUUACCUGUUUAGCUUGCUGCAAAGGUUUAUGACUUAUAGCUUAAGCCAGCUAAAGACCACCAGUACAAUUUGUGUCCAUCUGUGGCAAUGUUGCCCCGCCCCUGUGUGUAUUUCGGUGCUUUAUUUUGUAUGUAGUGUGUUAAUGUUGGUG